rnacentral:tRNA from 2 species
ACGCCGGUAGCUCAAUUGGCAGAGCAGCCGUCUCCAAAGCGGCAGGUUGCAGGUUCGAUUCCUGCCCGGCGUG